GUCUAUGUUUUUACAAAGUAUGAGACAACAAAAUCAUCCAGAACAGAUUGCUAGUGGUGACAUUUGUAGCGGUAUUGGGAAUGAAAUUGGUAGCAAUAGAGAUAUCAAUAUUGGUGC